rnacentral:lncRNA from 1 species
CUUGAAUUAGCUAUCAAAAACAUUUCUCGGUGUCCACGUCUAGUUGCUGCAGGUGAGGUCGCCCAAGCCUGACAGGUGGGAGCUGCUCGCACCCGGCAGUGGCGGGGGUGUGGCGGAGCAGGCCAGUGGAGACUGCGACGAUGAAGACGAAGACGGCUGUGAGGGAUCGGGCCGUGGAGAGGCCGGGCGGGCUGCGGAAACCCCACGCUGUUGAAAUUGGUUGUCGUUAUGAAAAUCAGCUUGUUCAGCUAUCAAGUAUUUCUGGAUUUCAUUUCCCUGGUUGUAAAAGAGAGCUUGAAGCUCUGUGGUGGACGGAUUUCUCUUCUCCUGGACAAGGCACUUCAGGAUGUUCUG